GAGAGAGAGCGCGCGCGCACAAGCCGGUGGAGGGGAAGUGGGAGAAGGAGAAGCAGGCUCCCUGCUCGGCAGGGAGCCCCAUGUGCGGCUUGAUCUGGGAUCAUGACCUAAGCUAAAGGCAGCUACUUAACCAACUGAGCCACCUAGGCACCCCUACAUCAAUAAGUUUACGUUUAAACUUACAUAUGUAUACACACAUAUGCAAUUAUUUUCUGGAUAGCUGAUUAUUAAUAAUUUAUCAGUAUACCCGCACACCAUGGCCAAUUUCAAGCUAUCAGUAUCACAUCAACUGAAUGUGGAAUUGGGAAGAGUUACAAAUGGCACACCAACCUUUGUUUUAAUUUGGAGGCUAUAUAAAUGUUGGAAAGAAAUGAUCUUAACAGUAGUAGAUGAUAAUGUUCGACAUGACAUUCAUAAGCACAACACAAAAUAAGAUCAAACCAUGAAAUAUGGUGUAAUACUAUAUUCAAAACAAGAUUAGUCUAGGAAAAGUAGCUUUAUAGGUUUCUUUUACAGGAAACAGUGUCCAAUUUAAACUUAAAAGAAGAAAAAAAAAGAAAAUUCGUCUAGUUUAAGAUUUUGUCAAUUGUUCUUUAAGGACAAUUUACCUGAAGGUUAACAUUAUUUUGACAACAAACAUGUACUGAACACCUACUGUGUGCCAAGAUGAUGUCCCAUCAGGAUCCAGAGAUGACACCUAAGAUCACACAGGUAGUUAAAAGAAUAGCUGGGAAUUUUAGGGAUAUUACAUUAAAUGAAAUAAGCCAGUCACAGAGACAAACACUGUAUAAUUCUACUUAAGAGAUCUAAAGCAAAGUAGAAACAAAGUAGAAUGGGGGUUGUCAGGGCUGGGAGGAGGGGGAAAUGAAGCAUAUUAGGCAGAAGAGUUUCAGUUUUGCAAAAUGAAAAAGUUGUAGAGAGUUGUUCUAUUACAAUGUGAAUAUGGCUGACACUAUGGUACUGUACGUACAAGAGUUGAGGGUUUAAAAGAAAAAAGAAUAGCUGGGAUUUGAAUCAGGCCUGAUUAAAAACUCAUGUUUAGCAAUGGCUAUUCCUGCCUCCUUCUUUCAAGUCUUUAUCUUCUCAAAGAAUAAUUUACAGGUCCCUGUCCUCUGUAUGGCAGGAUAGCAACCCACUGAUUACCACCUGCAUUGUCUAGCUUAACAGAUCCCUGAAACUUUUUCUCGGAAAAUUGUUAUACUCAGCCAGGAUAGCAAAUGCAAAAUUGGAAUCCUCAAUCUAAGAGUUUAAAUGGAGGACCAGCUGUGCCUGGAUGGGUCAGUGGGUUAAGUGUCUGCCUUCAGUUCAGGUCGUGCUCUCAGGGUCCUGGGCUUGAGUCCUGGGCUUGAGUGGGUAGGGUCCUGGGCUUGAGCCUCCAGGCAGUUCCCUGUUAAGUGGGGAAGUCUGCUUCUCCCUCUCCAUCUGUCUCUCCCCCAUUCGCGCAUGCAUACACACACUCUCUCUCAAAUAAAUAAAAUCUUUUUUUAAUAAUGUAGAACCAGGGAUGCCUGGGUGGCUCAGGGGUUGAGCGUCCAGGGGUUGAGCAUCUGCCUUCAGCUCAGGGUGUGAUCCUGGAGUCCCGGGAUCUGGUCCAAUGUCGGGCUCCUUGCAUGGAGCCUGCUUCUCCCCCUGCCUGUGUCUCAGCCUCUCUCUCUGUGUCUCUCAUGAAUAAGUAAAUAAAAUCUUAAAGAAAAAAAAGAAUAAUGGAGAACCAAACACAGGACAGAAAUGGGCAAGAGGAUUCUGGAAGAAAUAAUUUUGGCUGUUUAAAAGACAAUAUAGGGGAUCCCUGGGUGGCUCAGCCGUUUAGCACCUGCCUUCCACCCAGAGUGUAAUCCUGGAGACCGGGGAUCGAGUCCCACGUCCAUGCAGGGAGCAUGGAGCCUGCCUCUCUCUCUGUAUUAUCUCUCAUGAAUAAAUAAAAUCUUAAAAAAAAGACAAUAUAAUGACUACAUAGUUGAAAAAAUGCUUAAUCUAUUAAAAGAAACAAGUCUGUGAUGUUAGAAGUUUGAAAUUAUACAUUUUUAAAUGUUAUAACCUGAAAUAAGUCAUUUAAAUCUUCCCAAAACUCAAUUUUUCUGGAGUAAAAUGUAGCUAAUGCUAAUUAUAGGUAGUAUAUGGCAAAGGAGGGGCUGAAAUGGGAGGAAAUACUUCUGAGAGUGAAUCAGAAUCAAACUGAGCAGCAGCAGCAUGUCUAAAAUGACAAAACUCAAAAUAUUAUAAGAGAUAAAAAAAUUCUAAUACUCUCCCAAUUUAAUCAAAGUAAACGGUUUCAGAAACGCAAGAAUGAAGUCUGUUAAAAUGGAAAGAACAAUGGAAUUAGACUUGAUUUAAACACCUACACUUCAUAGCAGUGUAGUGUAGGGCAAACUACUUAAUCUCCCCGAGCCCUAAAUUUCUUCAUUGUAGGGUGCAUUUAUGUGACAUGUACUGACUACCAGGGCCGGGACUGUACUAGGUAGGUGCUAUGGAUACAACUCACUUUUCAUAUAACAACAAAUACUAUGAUGACAUCUACUGAAUGUCAAUAGAUUUCCUAUGUGCCAAGUACUAUUAUAAAGCCUUUCAACUGGGCAGCCCGAGUGGCUCAGCGGUUUAGCGCCGCUUUCAGCCCAGGGCCUGAUCCUGGAGUCCUGGGAUCGAGUCCCAUGUUGGGCUCCCUGCAUGGGGCCUGCUUCUCCCUCUGCCUGUGUCUCUGCCUCUCUCUCUCUCUGUGUCUCUCAUGAAUAAAUAAAUAAUAUAUUAAAAAAAUAAAGCCUUUCAACUAAUUCCAUCUUCAUUUAAUCCUUCUCAACCUAAAACGUAGGUACUGUUGUUGUCAUUUACAUUUAUACAAGAGGUACAAAGAGGUUAAGAUAUCUAGGCCAGGAUCAAACACGCGUUAGGCGUUCAGCGGGGAUGUUUCUUGGCGGGGGACAAUUCUUACGUGUGCAAGGUGGAGGUGGAAGCUUUCCACAACGAAGGGCCAGUUUUAGUUCACUCGUCCACAGAACAGGGACUGAAAUAGUACUACUACCUCUCGGGGUUUGGGCCUGCUAUUUAUUUAUUUGAUUUGAUUUUUAUUUAUUUACCUCUUGGGGUUUGGGCCUGCUAUUUAUUUAUUUAUUUAUUUAUUAGAUUUUUAUUUAUUUACCUCUUGGGGUUUGGGCCUAUUUAUUUAUUUAUUAGAUUUUUAUUUAUUUACUCAUGAGAGACACAGAGGGAG
rnacentral:lncRNA from 1 species